UGGCGGCGGGGCGGCGUGCCCUCCAGGACUCGCACUCAGAAGGAAUGCUGCCCAAUCCUUCUGGGAAUCCUUGGGGGAAGUUAUAACCCAAACCGGAAGAGUUCAGUUUAAAUUCUUGUUAGACUAUGCAGAAAACGAGAGACCCCAUCUCCUUAGAAACAAUUUAAAGUGGCCUCUUAGGAAUACUCUCGAGUGUAACAACUCAAGACUAUCCAGGAAGUGAUAAAUACAAAAAGUCGUCAGAAAUGAUAGCUCACUAAGAUUUCUCCCUUUGAGUCAGAUUUCAACACAUAACAUGCUUCUAUGUGUGUAUAUCUGAGGAGCUUAUGUUGGUGUUAGUUAUGUUGGUGUUAGUUUUUAAACGUUAAGAAUAUACUUUCUCAGGAUCUCACUAUGUCCACCAAGCUGGGCUUUAAACUCACAAGAGAACUACUUGCCUCCUAGUCCUGGGAUUAAAGGUGUACACCAUCAGACCCGGCUAGAACUCCUGGACAACCUUGGGUCUCACUGAAGGGAACACUGGCUGCAAGGUGCUGUGCCUGCGUCUUUGUCUGUGCACCACAGGCAUGCAGUACCUUCUGAGGGCAGAAGAGAGUAUCAGAGGCCUGGGAACUAGAGUUACAGAUUUGUAACAAGACUUCCCCCUCUUCACUUGAGUUUGCACUUUCUUUUUCUGAGAAGAGGAAAGCAUUCCAAGGAGUCCAUAAAGUCCUAGCUUGACUGAGAGCCUGUCAGCAGCAGCCUGGAUUCAAUCUGCUCCUCCUCUAGGCUCGGAAACGAAAGGCUGACUCCAGUGUGAAAGACGACCGGGUGGAAAAGAGCCGGAGAGCGGGAGCCUCUGGGUGUGAAGGGGAACUGCAGUCAUGAACUCACAAACUACCUGCCCAAGAUCAAGCCAGUCAAUAAUCCCACCCCCACUGGUGGGCUCCUGAGGAGGUACCGGUAACUGAUGGCAGCUGGGAAACACUAACGACUGGAGCAACACUUCAGAGUGAAACUGCAUUUCUGCUGACACUGCAGGUACAUGGCAUUCAACAACAGUGACUACUAGCAGUGUCGAAUGCCAGUGUUGGACAACCCAACCUACAGUGCCUGUACCAUCAGGAGAUGUCAACACUAGGAACAGUCAACUAAUGUAUCAGUCUGAUGACAGCAGUUCUGACUUGAAGGCGCCAUCAAAGUGUCUUGGGAAUAUCCAUAUUCAUGAAUUGCAGUUUAAGGACUAUUGUCUAUAGAAUUACAUGCCUGGAACAAGACACAGAGGGACCAGCAGAUGCACAACCCUUACCUCACUCUCAAUCUUAGUAGAGUAGAGACUGGAACUGCCUACAUUAAAUUCCUAGCUGAC